rnacentral:rRNA from 1 species
UUGGAGGGCAAGUCUGGUGCCAGCAGCCGCGGUAAUUCCAGCUCCAAUAGCGUAUAUUAAAGUUGUUGCAGUUAAAAAGCUCGUAGUUGAAUUUCGGGAUUGACGUGAUGGUCAUGCCCUAAGGGGUAUGAACUGUCACUGUUGAUUUCUCACCUUCUGGAGAAACUUGAUGUCCUUUAUUGGGUGUCUUGCGGAUCCAGGACCUUUACCUUGAAAAAAUUAGAGUGUUUAAAGCAGGCAUUUUUGCUCGAAUACAUUAGCAUGGAAUAAUAGAAUAGGACGGCAUGGUUCUAUUUUGUUGGUUUCUAGGAUCACCGUAAUGAUUAAUAGGGAUAGUUGGGGGCAUUAGUAUUCAAUUGUCAGAGGUGAAAUUCUUGGAUUUAUUGAAGACUAACUACAGCGAAAGCAUUUGCCAAGGAUGUUUUCAUUAAUCAAGAACGAAAGUUAGGGGAUCGAAGACGAUCAGAUACCGUCGUAGUCUUAACCAUAAACUAUGCCGACUAGGAAUCAGACGAUGUUAAUUUUUUAAUGACUCGUUUGGCACCUUACGGGAAACCAAAGUGUUUGGGUUC